GUGACAUCAUCACGUUUUUGCGACGUAGGAGGAAUCGAUAAGCGGAAUCGUCGGGCAAGUAAACAAACGAUUCUUAGGAAUCGAAUUACUGGUAACCGGUUCUCAAAAAGAACCGGUUCUCGAUUCCCAUCCCUAGUCAGGGGUUAUGUGCGUACAUGAAUCCUUUGUGGAGUUUGGCUGGAAGCUCAAGACAAUUUGGUUAAACCGCCACAAAGAAAGGCAAGGAUUCAUAUCUGCACAUUCUACACAUCGAAGCCAUUUAACAGCACAAAGAGAUUAUUGCUUCAAAAAAACAGACAUGGAGAGAUGAGUCUUUUUAGUUUAAUCAAUGACUGAAGAAUGACUUUACAUGCACUGUUUCAGUCCCAGAAUAUCCUGUAUUAAGCCUGUACAGUGUUGGACAGUGAGAGAUUACGAUUAUAAAAACACAUUGAUGCUAAUAUUUUUUGCUUAAAGCUAUUGAUCACUUUUAUACCGCUGCCAUCUCAUUUUUAUUUUCUUUUUGAUCAGUUUGUUUAAUUGCAUUAACUGAAGUAUUUUUGUGUCUGACACAAGCAGCUAGAAGAAAGGAGGACACUAAGACAGGGUUUUGUCAGCUAGUCAGCAUUAAUUAGCUGUUCUCAUGCUAUGUUGUCACUGCGGCUGCGCUCGGUGACCAGUCACAGUGUUAUGUUUCCCUCCCAGAGGACACAUAUCCACGCAAGUGCAAACAAAUGCACACACCUCAGAGCCAUAUGAGCUUCUGGAUAAGAGCCAUGUUUGUGAGCAGCAUCAUCUUCGUGAAGGUCUGCAGCCACAGUAGCUUUCUGUCUGCCCAAGUGAAACAGAAGCAGCUAAUCAUCACACGAAAAGUAACCUUAACCUGAGCUGGCUGUACAAGGAAAGACGCUUUCUUUGAAUAACACUUUCAUUAUUCAGCCUAUUAUAUGUUGAGCAUUUCCAAAACUAUGCAGAACAUACACUACCAGUCAAAAGAAGUGCAUUUACUGUGAAUGUUUUCAUAUUUUCUUAGCCUCCUCACAGCCAGGCGUUUCAGUUUAGCGGUGUGACUUGAGUUAACAUCUGGAGAAUGAUGAACUACAAAAAAAUGAUUGUGUCGGGUUCAGUCUGUGACAGCAGAAUUCAGGAAACAUCUCAGAUUUUGCUUUACAGACGUAUAGACUACACAGAUGCUAUGUGCACCAGUUUUUGUAGUCUUAAGAGCAAAUCCACAUCAUUAUUUUGGCAUGUCAGAGUAGUAAAAAAACUGGAACCUCGGUUUAUAAUACUGCCACACAUCAGAUUCUACUGGUGUUAGAGGUCUUAAAAGUUGGUAAAAUGUUCACCAAAGACUGUGUUUUUUGUGGAGAAUAUGAAUUCAUCCAUUUUUGUACAUGUACAAAAGCUUUUGGAGGCCACAAAUGUUGCAGUUUUUUUUUUUUUUUCCCCAUUUUCAAGGGCCAGUCUGCUUGAACCAUGCAGUCAUUUGGAUCUGCAGCAAACACGUUUGAGUCCUCACGGGAUUUCGUGAUGGUGGGAAUCGUAUUCUGGAGAUAUCGAACUCUUAAAAUUGCUUCUCUUGUGUUUUCUAGGGGAGAAAUACCCAAGUUUCCAGAGGCCUUCUGAGAAGCUGUUUCCUACAGCAUCCACAGAAAUAAAACUCCAGGAGAUGGAGUUUACAUUCCUGUGCAGUGUCAGCCGACCUCGUUUCAGCCAACACAUCCACAACCGAGGUCCUUCUUCACAUCCCAAUGAGGAAUGUGCGAUUUAACUAUUGUCCACACACUGCCUCACACACAAACAGCCAAGCUAAAUAUUACCUCAGAGGUGUCACUGUUGCAGAAGUGGCUGAUGGUGAAGGAGGGCCUCUCAGCUGGACUUCUCAUUACACCAUCAGUCUGCAGGAGGAAUCACCACUGGUGUAGCUUAACACCUAAACAACAUUCAAACGGCUACUAUCCUAUAGCUCAGUUUGAAAAGAACAGUUUUUAAGGUGUGACUAUUAAAAAAAAUUGUUGUAAAAAUAUGUUUUAUUACACAGAGGGUAUCUUAACCUGAUGUAAAGUUUCAAACAUGUACUGAGAAGCCAAAUAUGUGCAAAACUGUGCAAACGUAAUAGACUUUAAACAUAUUUUAAAGGUACUUUGAUGACUUUGCAGUUUUUCCAUGGACGCUGUCUGCCUCACUAUUUUCUGUCUCCUUGUAUAAUCCAGACUGACUUGAUCAUGAUGAAAUCUGCCAUCUGUUGCAGGACCUACUGUUCUUCUCUAUGUCUCUGUCUGGGUUUGUUGUCACACUGCAGAAAGAACUAGGACCAAUCACAUUUGUUCUGUGUAUUUCCUCACAGAUUAUGUCUUGUUUUCUAUCUUGAACUGUACAGCACUUUGGUUGACCUUGGUUGUUGUUUUUUUUUUGUAAAUGCUACAUAAAUAAAGUUGACUUGGUUUGA